UACGUAGGGUGCGAGCGUUGUCCGGAAUCAUUGGGCGUAAAGAGCGCGUAGGCGGUCCGGUAAGUCGGUUGUGAAAACUGGGGGCUCAACCCUCAGAGGCCGACCGAUACUGCCGGGCUAGAGUCCGGAAGAGGCGAGUGGAAUUCCUGGUGUAGCGGUGAAAUGCGCAGAUAUCAGGAGGAACACCAAUGGCGAAGGCAGCUCGCUGGGACGGUACUGACGCUGAGGCGCGAAAGCGUGGGGAGCAAACAGG
rnacentral:rRNA from 1 species